AGCGAACGCUGGCGGCAGGCCUAACACGUGCAAGUCGAACGAACUCUUCGGAGUUAGUGGCGGACGGGUGAGUAACACGUGGGAACGUGCCUUUUGGUUCGGAAUAACUCAGGGAAACUUGUGCUAAUACCGAAUGUGCCCUUCGGGGGAAAGAUUUAUCGCCAUUAGAGCGGCCCGCGUCUGAUUAGCUAGUUGGUGAGGUAACGGCUCACCAAGGCGACGAUCAGUAGCUGGUCUGAGAGGAUGACCAGCCACACUGGGACUGAGACACGGCCCAGACUCCUACGGGAAGCAGCAGUGGGGAAUCUUGCGCAAUGGGCGAAAGCCUGACGCAGCCAUGCCGCGUGAAUGAUGAAGGUCUUAGGAUUGUAAAAUUCUUUCACCGGGGACGAUAAUGACGGUACCCGGAGAAGAAGCCCCGGCUAACUUCGUG
rnacentral:rRNA from 1 species